GAUAGCCUUUGUUGCCUUCGCGCAUCGAUGAGCCUUGGGUGCCCAACACCCUGUCGCUGGUUUACCCCUCCUUGGACUACUGUCAGUGAUCCCUCUUCCAGGAGUCCAUUGGUGGUGUUGCCAUUGACGGUGUGUUGUUUGGAGGUGCACGGGGAGAACAACGUGGUCUGUGUCCUCCAGCCUGUUCACUGCCACCUCGAAGCUUCACAGAAAGGAGAGAGAGGACAGCAGGACAUUUGGCCUGUU